UACGGAGGGGGCUAGCGUUGUUCGGAAUUACUGGGCGUAAAGCGCACGUAGGCGGCUUUGCAAGUCAGAGGUGAAAGCCCGGGGCUCAACCCCGGAAUUGCCUUUGAGACUGCAUCGCUAGAAUUGUGGAGAGGUAAGUGGAAUUCCGAGUGUAGAGGUGAAAUUCGUAGAUAUUUGGAAGAACACCAGUGGCGAAGGCGACUUACUGGACACAUAUUGACGCUGAGGUGCGAAAGCGUGGGGAGCAAACAGG
rnacentral:rRNA from 1 species